rnacentral:lncRNA from 1 species
CCUGGAAGCUUUACCUCAGGCUUGACUCUCCAAUCCUUCUAGUAAGUUAAUGAAUUAAUUCCUUUUCUGCCUAAUCAGGUCAGCACCAGCUUUGGAUGCUUGCAAUGAAGGACUAGUGAUGAGAUCAUGAGCCAUAGGAGAAAAGAGAGCAGGCUACCUGGAACCAUUCCUAAGGUCAGUUGUUCACAGGAUCCAUAUCAUCAAAUAACUACAUUCCCCUUUGAAAUGAAUCCACUGUUAUUGGGGUCUGUUGCCUGCUUUUCUUUUCUGGGAGUA